rnacentral:rRNA from 1 species
UACAGAGGUCUCAAGCGUUGUUCGGAUUCAUUGGGCGUAAAGGGUGCGUAGGCGGCAGCGCAAGUCAGGUGUGAAAUCCCGGGGCUCAACCCCGGAACUGCACUUGAUACUGCGUUGCUAGAGUACUGGAGAGGAGACUGGAAUUUACGGUGUAGCAGUGAAAUGCGUAGAUAUCGUAAGGAAGACCAGUGGCGAAGGCGGGUCUCUGGACAGUUCCUGACGCUGAGGCACGAAGGUCAGGGGAGCAAACGGG